rnacentral:rRNA from 1 species
CUGAACCAGCAACUUGGAGGAAUGUAUAGCAAUAGCUACUUGCACCAUUGUUAUAAUGAUGCAAGAUCGACUAUGUCGAAUAAAAUUCUAGGUAGAAUUAUGAUAAUGACAUUGUCUGCCUAUGUGUCUUGACCAAAUUACGUGCCAGCAGUCGCGGUAAUACGUAGAAGACUAGUGUUAAUCAUGUUUAAUCGGUUUAAAGGGUACCUAGACGGCAAAUCAAGCUUUCGAUAAAAUAGAACUAAAGGACUAAUUUGCUAGAGUUACUUAUGAGGGGGUUUUAAAGUACUUUUGGUGUAGAGAUGAAAUUCUGUUAUACCUUUUUUUUAAGGGAGAGUGAUGGCACAGGUAUAGGCGAAGGCAUCCCCUUAUGUGAUAACUGACGUUGAGGGACGAAGGCUUUACAUAAUGAACAGGAUUAGUUACCCCCGUAGUCGAAGCAGAAAAUGAUGAAUGUCAUAGAUUAGAUAUAAGUUUAUUCUAUAAAUGAAAGUGUAAGCAUUCCACCUCAAGAGUAAUUUGGCAACAUUGGAACUGAAAUCAUUAGACCGUUUUUGAAACCAGUAGUGAAGUAUGUUGUUUAAUUUGAUAUCACGCAAAAAACCUUACCACAAUUUGAAUAUUUAUAUUUUUUUUUUAUUGUUUUCUUAUUAAUUUUCUUCUAACAACAAAAAACAAUAUGAAAAAAAAGCAAUCUAAUAAAGAGGCAAUAAGAUAUAUUUACAAGCGUUGCACGGCUGUCUUCAGUUAAUGUCGCGAGACUCUGGUUAGUUCCAUGAAAUUAACGUAAACCCUUACUUUAUUUUUAUAUAGAGUAGUUCCCCGCUAUAUUGGAUAUGAUAACAGGGACUAAGACAAGUCAUCAUGGCCUGAAUAUUGUGGGCUAUAGACGUGCCACUUAUACCUUACAAAAGGGUGUG